UACUUCAAAACGUUCAAUCCCACUGACUUGGGUCCCUUCAAUUUAUGUCAGUGUUUUGGUAAUCUUUUAAGUUUCAAUAUAUAUAGAAGCAACAGCUUCCUCUAAAAAGUGUACUCCUUUUUCUCUCUAAAAUUCUCUAUUUGAAAUAAUUUCCCAGCAACUUCGCCACCGACCCUAGCCUUUGGCUUGGGUGCCGGAGGCAUCCUUCCUUCUCUCUCCCUUCUUUGUUUCCUCCUAAGUUUUCUCAGGUUCUCUUAUUUUUUCCUCCCCCUCCCAGCCUCCCUCCUCCUCUUUCUUCACCUUUUCUAGUUUUCUCCCUACCUUUUUAUUUUUCAAUUCUUCCCUGAGGUUAAUCUCAGUUUUCCUUGAGCCGAGUCUCAACUAUCAUGGGCUUCAUGCCCCUUAUCCGGCGUUUUUCACCUGCUUUUACUACUUUCUGUCUUUUAAUUUCUCUUCCUCCCUUUUCAGAUGUGAUACCUCAUCCCCAUACCACCAUGUGCUCGGAUUAACAGGCUCUGAUCACAAAUUGGAUAUCAGAUCCACUUCCCUCCCUCACUUCCCGUCCCCCAACCGGCAUCCUGAACCCCAUCGAGGCCUAGUGUUGGGGGUUCGUGAAUGGGACUUGAAUCUGGUGUCUAUUUUCUCGGUUCGGAGUUUGGUUUCCUCUAAGGAUGUGACGGCAGCGGCGAUAUGGUCUUUGUUGCUGAAGAUUAGGGUUUUUUUAUUGUUUGUUUUCAGCGGCCUUCGGGCCUAAGUUUAUGUGGAUUUCCUGUUGUAUUUUGGGUUGUUACUCUUAUUUUGCUUGGGCUUUUUACUUU